rnacentral:lncRNA from 1 species
ACGACAGUGUGAUUCCCUGACCUCGCUGUAAUGGCCUGGUCUUCUUCAGGGCAUCGUCACGAGGUGCGUCAGUCGGCUCAGCUCAUGCUGAACCAGCUGUUGCAACAGCUUCGUAGCAACUCCCACUUCCUGUGUGCCUGCGUGUGAUUGGCUACCUACGCAGGAUGGACGUGUUCACGGAGGCGGAGCUACGGGUCAAGUUCCUGCAGGCGGGGGCAGCUGGCUCCAUUCCAUCCUGUCACUGUCCCUGAUGAGACCCUUACUGCCACAUCACCAGACCAUCGAGGCCUGUCGCGUGUGUAACCUGGCUUCUGUUAUCUAGCAGUGGAAUGAAGGACCCAGGAACAGGAUUUUAAUUCUCUGACAUUUGUCUCCUCUGUUCCAGGUACAUCUGUUUGACAUCAUCACCCAGUACAGAGCCAUCUUCUCUGACGAGGACCCCCUGCUGUCUCCCGGUGACAAUGCUUUAUUUAAUUUAAGGCUGAAUUAUUUGAUACGAUUUACAUAAAUAUGAAGAUUAAACCCAACAAGAAUUAUCUAAAGAUGUGUUUAAUAUGUCCAUAUGUGUUCUGGAAAAGCCCGUCAGUACUGUGGAUUUGGUACAGACAGGUCAAUAGUCCACCUGAAGUGUCAGGUCACUGGCUGGGCAGCCUUGUGAUGUACGGUGUCUGUGGUGAAAGGGGGGGCAGCCUUGUGAUGUACGGUGGUCUGUGGUGAAAGGUGUUGAAUGAGGGGGCAGUCUUGUGAUGUGACGGUGUCUGUGGUGAACGAGGGGCAGCCUUGUGAUGUACUGGUGUCUGUGGUGAAAUGUGUUGAAUGAGGGGACAGGCCUGUUGUGAUGUACGGUGUCUGUGGUGGUGGAAUGAGUGGGCAGCCUUGUGAUGUACGGUGUCUCGUGGUGAUAUGAGGGGGCAGCCUUGUGAUGUACGGUGUCUGAUGGUGAAAGGUGUGAGAGGGGGCAGCUUGUGAUUGUACGGUCUGUUGGUGAAUGAGGGGCGGCUUGUAGUACGGCGUGUCUGUUGUGAACGAGGGGGCAGCCCUGUGAUGUACGGUGUCUGUGUGAAGGUGGUGAUGGGGCAGCCUUGUGAUGUACGGUUGUUGGUUGAAAGGUGUUCAGGCCAGGCGGUGAACGAGGGGCCAUCUUCCACGGCGUGGUGUGCAGCGGUGUCUAGUUUCUGGUGACCCUGGACCGAGACCUCCAGAGGGGGGUGGGCGCGACGCCUGACUCUGCUGGGACAGUGCUGUAUUUCGGCGUCCUUCAGUGUGUUGGGGCAGGAACUUCCGCGGCCAGUGGCCCCGAUGUUCCAGCGCGUGGCGGGCGAUACCUUCCGUAAAGCGUAGGGAAGCCAUAGACAGGUUCCAGGAGGACAUGAACCUGUACACUCUGAUCUCUGCCCCUAUGCUGGGUGGGGCUCCAUGCCAGGUACCCUCCAGCCCCCCAGUACCCAGCCAGGUACCCCAGCCCCCCCCAUGGCUCUGCUGGACUUCCCCCCUCUGCCUGCUUCCUCAACAACAUCUGACGCCUUCAACGACCUCAGGCUCUGUUGUCCCCUCGGUCUGGCCCCGCAGGUGACCAAGUACCUGGGGACGCCCUGAUGAAGGUAACCAACGCGUGUCUGUCUCUUCAAAGUACCAUACUGACAGUAGGGUGUCCCAUGCUCUCUCUAGACGCGGUAGAUGGGAUAUCCUCUAGACGCGGUGGUAGAUGGGUAUGCUCUCUAGACGCGGUAAUUGAUGGGAUGUCCUCUAGACGCGGUAGACGGGAUGCUCUUCUCUAGACGCGGUAGACGGGAUGCUCUCUAGACGCGGUUAACGGGAUGUCUCUCUGACGCGGUAGACGGCUGCUCUCUAGACGCGGUAGACGGGAUGCUCUCUCUAGACGCGUAGACGGGCAUGCUCUCUCUAGACCGUGUUCUAGACGGGCGGAUGCUCUCUCUAGACGCGGUAGACGGGAUGCCUCUCAGACCCGGUGAGGGUGCUCUCUCUAGAGCGGUAGACGGGAUGCUCUUUAGAGCGGUAGACGGGUGCUCUCUUAGGACGCGGUAGACGGGAUGCUCUCUGACGAGCGGUAGAUGAGAUACUCUAGACGCGGUUGAUGGG